ACGAACGCUGGCGGCGUGCUUAACCCAUGCCAGUCGAGCGGUAAGGCCUUUCGGGGUACACGAGCGGCGAACGGGUGAGUAACACGUGGGUGAUCUGCCCUGCACUUCGGGAUAAGCCUGGGAAACUGGGUCUAAUACCGGAUAUGACCUCCUAUCGCAUGGUGGGUGGUGGAAAGAUUUAUCGGUGCAGGAUGGGCCCGCGGCCUAUCAGCUUGUUGGUGGGGUAAUGGCCUACCAAGGCGACGACGGGUAGCCGACCUGAGAGGGUGACCGGCCACACUGGGACUGAGACACGGCCCAGACUCCUACGGGAGGCAGCAGUGGGGAAUAUUGCACAAUGGGCGAAAGCCUGAUGCAGCGACGCCGCGUGAGGGAUGACGGCCUUCGGGUUGUAAACCUCUUUCAGCAGGGACGAAGCGCAAGUGACGGUACCUGCAGAAGAAGCACCGGCUAACUACGUG
rnacentral:rRNA from 1 species